rnacentral:rRNA from 1 species
UGAGGAAUAUUGGUCAAUGGGCGGGAGCCUGAACCAGCCAAGCCGCGUGAGGGAGGAAGGCCCUAUGGGUCGUAAACCUCUUUUGUCAGGGAACAAAAGCGAGUAUGUAUACUAGUCUGAGUGUACCUGAAGAAAAAGCAUCGGCUAACUCCGUGCCAGCAGCCGCGGUAAUACGGAGGAUGCGAGCGUUAUCCGGAUUUAUUGGGUUUAAAGGGUGCGUAGGCGGCGGUGCAGGUCAGCGGUAAAAGCCCGGGGGCUCAACCCCGGCGAGCCGUUGAAACUGCAGUGCUAGAGAAGGCGAGAGGUACGCGGAAUGCGCAGUGUAGCGGUGAAAUGCUUAGAUAUUGCGCAGAACUCCGAUUGCGAAGGCAGCGUACUGGCGCCUGACUGACGCUGAGGCACGAAAGCGUGGGGAUCGAACAGGAUUAGAUACC